rnacentral:lncRNA from 1 species
UUAAGAACAUUUGUCCCCGAAUGUUCACCAAACAAACAUAGCAUGGCAUAAAACAUGAACAUACACAGCAUGAAACAUUAACAUACAUACUAACACAAAGCACUCACCUUAGAAGAGAUGAGGAUAUUGCCGGAGCAUGGACUCUCGUGUCUCCCAGGUACACUCUUCGAUGUUGUGGUGAUUCCAAAGGACUUUCACCAUCGGGAUUUCCUUGUUUCUCAACUUUUUGAUCUGGGUGUCU